GGAUCGAUGAAGACCGCAGC
rnacentral:rRNA from 1 species